AGCAGCAACUACAUGCUAUGUAGCUUUGCAUCCUCAGGUGAAGGGAAUAACCGGUGAAUACUUCUCGGACAGCAAUAUAUCUGCAUCAACUUCUCAGGGUACAGAUGCAGAAUUGGCAAAGAAACUCUGGGAUUUCAGCUUGAAUUUGACAAAACCUCAGUAAAAACAAUGUCAAUUGAUGUUUUAUCUCAGUAUGUGAUCAUCGCGUAAACUCUUUUUUCUUUCCAAAUACUUUCCUUGUAAUGCACAUCUCGACUGGUUUUUGGCUGGACAAAUCUUGCUGGCUUGAAAACUUGAAUUUCAAU
rnacentral:misc_RNA from 1 species